GGGCUCAGUAUCUUAUCUCUCUCCUCUUCCCCGUGUCUUCUUGGUAUGUUGCCACAAUGCUGUGAUUAAAUAUUUGUCAAAUGUUCAUUUCAAUGAUUAAUUAGUAGUUCAAUUUUAUUGAAUUUAAAAAAAAAAAAAAUUUAACUUCCCACCUCCUCUCAUUCUCUAUUGUUUGGGCACCGACACCACGCCCGAGGUUUCUAAAUCUCAUUCUCUAUUGGUACUCCAAAUUCUCUAUUGGUACUCACUUGUGUCCAAUAUAGACUUGUGACAAAGACUUCCUCCACCACACCCACCUUCCACCGCCUACUCCCUUCAAGCGAAAUUGUGAGUCUUCCCAACAAAAUUCACCAAAAAGUAAUACUUACCUUCAUCCCUUACAAUUGAAAUGAGGUAAAGCCAAAUCCUAAAUUACCCAUUUAAUUUUCUCUCUCCUUUGUGUUAAUUGUGAUGUUGAUCCUUCGUCGGAGAUUCGAUGUCACUACUGAUGUGUUGAUGUCGAUGUUGUUGUUGUUGUUGUCACUUCUGCUAUUGCUAUCCCCUGUUUCUUUGGUUUAGAAUCACAAAGUGAAUUGGAGACUACAAGUAAGGUUCAUUAUGAAGAAGUAGUAUGGAGUUGAAGAAAGUUGGGUGGAGUUAUAGAUAUCUCGGAGUUCUUGUUUGUCGAAGUAAAGAAUGGUUAUUAAGCCGACCGAGAAGAACGAGUUGGGGAAUAGAACAUCCGAAAUUGCGCGAAGAGCUUGCUCAAGGAGAUGCAGGUAUUGGCGUUGAAUUUUAGGUACACGUGAAGUAAAGUUGAGAGCUUAGUUGAAGUGUACUUCUAUGAAAGACUUUAAUAAGUGUGUAUAAGUUAAUUGAAUUCUUUUAGUUAUGUAAUAUUAUUAGUACUUAGCUUUGCAUCCACUUUAUAAGUAGGCGUAGCAGUAACACCCUGAUGGUGUAUUGGGAAAUUUUUAUAUGUUGGAAUGAUGUAGUUGAUGCAGGUUAAAGGAAGUAUGACGUAAUACCCUAAAUAAUAUUUUAGGUUGUCCAUAUUUAGGGAAAUGCUGUCGAAAUUUUUAAUAAUUAGUUAAGGUUAAAAUUUAAUUAGUGUCUUUAAGAUAAGCUUAAAUAGAAGGGUUGUUACAUGUACCAUGGUGGGCUACCUGCUCACAUGCUCAUUUUUUUGUGAGCAGGUCCAUUUUGUAUCAAUUGGAGUUGCUCUAAGACUUAAGGCUUAAAUUGUGUACGAAGUAUGUUACACGAUCCCAAAAGGUUAGCGGGUUUAUAUUGAGUCGGGUUAUAAUCAGGUCGGGUCAUAUUGGGUCGGGUUGUGUCGGAUCGGGUUAUAGUUGGGUCGGGUCAGCUCGGGUUGGAUUAUAGUCGGGUAAAAUCGGUUCGGGUUGGAGCAUGUCGGGUUGUAAACGGGUUUCCUGAUUAUAACAGGUUCAUAUCAUAUCGGGUCGGGUUCAUAUCAGGCUGGGUACAUAUCAGGCCGGGUUCAUGUCUGGUCAGGUCAAUUCGGAUACAAUUAUAAACAAUAUCGAGUUAUUACUAAAAUCAUAAUUUUCAAUAUGUUUAUAUUAUAAUAUGGAUAUCUUAAUUAAGAAACAAGGACGGUAACUAAAUUUUAAAAGUGUUAAAAUUUUAAGACCAGUAGAGUUAGUGAGUAUAUAGUAUAUUACUUAGUUUUAUCAUAGAUAACGAUGAACUAAUCACUAAUGCCUAAUAUUGUUCAUCACUUCGUAUUCAUGAAACAUUUAUUGAUGAAAAUUAAUACUCCUUAACUAAUAACUUAGUAACUAAUAAUAGAUAGUGAUGAACUAAUAUGUAAUGAAUUUGUAAAGUUUCUAAAUAUAAUUUUAUCAUAUAUUCAUAUCGGUUUAAACUGCAAUAAGACUAACAUGAUCAACAACAAAACGAGACAAACAAGUUCAAUUGUAUAUGAAUUAAGUCGAUUUAGUUAAAACUACAUAGUUUUCCGAUUAGUUCUUUGGUAAUAACUUAUAAUAAGAUUUGAAUUAGAUCAAUUUAGUUUAGUAAUCGAUUAAUCAGUUGAAUAUGGGUCAAUAAAAGAGUGCAAGACUAAUAAAAUAAUACAAAUUCAUAAGUUUUAUAACAUUGCCAAGAAUAUAUUAAAGAUUAUAACAUUCUACAUUUGAUUACUCAAAUAAAAGGAUUACGGGUUGUAAACGGUUCGGGUUGAAACAAUUCAGGUAAUAAACGAUUCGAGUUAAAAAAAGGUUCGGGUUGUAAACGGUUCGGGUUGAAACAGUUCGGGUUGUAAACGGUCCGGGUUGAAACAGUCCGGGUUGUAAACGGUCCGGGUUGAAAAAGUCCGGGUUGAAACAGUUCGGGUUGUAAACGUGUUUUCCCGGGUUGAAAUAGUUCAGAUGGAAACAAAUCGAGUCAUUAACGGGUUUUUCAGGUCCAUUCGGUUCAGGUAGAAACGGUUCGUGUUGCCGCAUGACGGUUUGUUAUCGGAUCUUAAUCGGGUUAAUGUUUUCGAGAUGGUUCGGGUUGAAUAUUAUCGGAUCGGAUCGGAUUUCGGGUUCUAGCUCACGGUUUAUUAACGGUUCUGGUUCUUAACGAUCGGAUUAAUCCAGCGGGUUCAACGGUUCGGGUUAAGAAUUGACAGCUCUAGGUUUAGCUCUAUCAAACGAAUUUCACAAAACCCUAAGUGUUAAUAUAGUGUAAACUAGGUUUAAAUUAAAUAAUGUGAUUAAAUUCUUAAGACAAAUCGAUUGAACGAGAUUAGAAAUAAGUAUAAUUAUAAUACCCAAAUUUUUAUUAAAUUAUAAAUAUAUUUAUCAUAUUUAUAAAGUAUCUUUAAGAGAAUUUUAAAUUAAAGUUGCAUUUAAGUAUUUAUUUAAAUGUAUUUUAUUUAAUUAGAAAUACUUAUUAUUAUUUUUUCGAGGAGAAAAAUAUUUUAAAAAUAAAUUAGGCAAGCUAAUUUUGUUUUUGGAGGAGAAAAGAAUUUAAUGCGCAAGUAAAAUUAAAAUUAGAAACCAUGUCUUUUAAUUUUAAAAAAAAGACACUCUUGUCUUUUCCAUCAUUAAAUCAUAUCCCCAAAGCCUAUAAAGAUUUAUAGGUGAUCACCCUCAAAACCCCUACUUGCGAUCGAUUUUAGCCUAAGGUUUCUUCUUCAAAGUUGUAGAUCUUGAAAAGUCAUUGAAUGUUAGCCUCAAGAAUUUUUUGAUUUCGAAAUAUAGAUUAGGAGUUAGGCCGUUUCAAAAUUUUGCAGUCCUAUUUCAAAUUCUUCUCUCCCCUUCUGUUCCCCUUGCCGCGCACGAUAGUCCCACAUAGGUCGAGCAGCACCAGCCCAGCAGGCCGCUGCCCCUCCUCACGGCCUCCGAUCCAGCCACCGUCGUCGUGCCCUUGUGCCGGAGUUGAUUUCUAGUGAGUCGUGAUUCGCACAGUGGCCCCCGUACUUAGGUAUUCCAGCGACGAGCCAAGCUCGUGCUAGACGAUGGGCAGCGGCAGCCAUGUAACGUGCAGCGACGAACCAAGCUCGUGCUAGACGAUGGGCAGCGGCAUCCAUGUAACGUGCAGCGACGAACCAAGCUCGUGCUAGACGAUGAGCAUCGGCAGCCAAGCAACGUGCACACGAGCCAAGCAAUGCCCAUAGUAGCAACAGCCACGCAUCCACUGUUGCCUAUCACUGCACCAUCGCAGCACCAAGCAAUCGUAACCCAUCGUAGCAGCAUCAUCGUAUUGCACCAACGCAGCACAACAAGAUCAUCGCAGCAACAAUGCAGGCCACGAGCAUAAUCUAGCAGCGCACAGCGGUGCGCCCGCACCAAAUGGGUGCGCCCUCACACUCACCAAUCUUGCACUCGAAAACAUUCUGCCUUGGACUGAAUAUUUGGAGUUCCCUUCCGGUGCGCCCGCACCGGCCACCGUGUCUGUUCUAUUUAAGCAGCAGCGCAGCGAAUUGACGGGGGGGGGGGGGGAGAUUGGUGUUUUAGGUCGAGCUCUUGGCUGCGAUUAGAGAGCAACGAUUUAGGAGUAGUGUAGGAUAGAUUAGAUUAAUUAGAAACACAAAUUCGUAGCUUAGAAUCUGAAUUUCGUUCUCCAUUUUUCGAAUUUCAAUUUCAGUUUUGUGUUCUUCAUUUUUAGCCUUUUUGUUCUUCAUUUUAGUUUUGUGUUCCUCAAUUUUCGAAU